rnacentral:rRNA from 1 species
CACGCCAUAAACGAUGAAUACUAGGUGUAGGGGGUAUCGACCCCCUCUGUGCCGACGUUAACACAUUAAGUAUUCCACCUGGGGAGUACGGCCGCAAGGUUAAAACUCAAAGGAAUUGACGGGGGCCCGCACAAGCAGUGGAGUAUGUGGUUUAAUUCGAAGCAACGCGAAGAACCUUACCAGGGCUUGACAUCCUCGGACGACACUAGAGAUAGUGUUUUCUCUUCGGAGACUGAGAGACAGGUGG